GACGAACGCUGGCGGCGCGCUUAACGCAUGCAAGUCGAGCGAGAACCAGGGCUUCGGCCCUGGGGACAGCGGCGAACGGGUGAGUAACACGUGGGUAAUCCACCCUCGGCACCGGAAUAGCCCGGGGAAACCCGGAUUAAUGCCGGAUGGCCCGCCGGCCCCGCGGGGCUGGCGGAAAAGGUAGCUUCGGCCUCCGGCCGAGGACGAGCCCGCGACGGAUUAGCUUGUUGGUGGGGUAACGGCCUACCAAGGCUGCGAUCCGUAGCUGGUGUGAGAGGACGAUCAGCCACACGGGGACUGAGACACGGCCCAGACUCCUACGGGAGGCAGCAGUGGGGAAUCUUGCGCAAUGGGCGAAAGCCUGACGCAGCGACGCCGCGUGAGGGAAGAAGGCCUUCGGGUUGUAAACCUCUUUCAGAAGGGACGAAGCCACUCGGGUUAAUAGCCCAGAGGGUGACGGUACCUUCAGGAAUAAGCCACGGCUAACUUCGUGCCAGCCGCCGCGGUAA
rnacentral:rRNA from 1 species